CGCGUAGGUGGUAACCUAAGCGUGCGGUGAAAGCCCGAGGCUCAACCUCGGGUCGGCCGUGCGAACUGGGUCACUUGAGCAGAAUAGAGGCAGGUGGAAUUCCGGGUGUAGCGGUGGAAUGCGUAGAGAUCCGGAAGAACACCGGUGGCGAAGGCGGCCUGCUGGGUUCUGGCUGACACUGAGGCGCGACAGCGUGGGGAGCAAACAGGAUUAGAUACCCUGGUAGUCCACGCCGUAAACGAUGGGCACUAGGUGCUUGGGGGAGCGACCCCCUGGGUGCCGGCGCUAACGCAUGAAGUGCCCCGCCUGGGGAGUACGGCCGCAAGGCUGAA
rnacentral:rRNA from 1 species